GACGAACGCUGGCGGCGUGCCUAAUACAUGCAAGUUGAGCGCUGAAGGUUGGUACUUGUCCCGACUGGAUGAGCAGCGCACGGGUGAGUAACGCGUGGGGAAUCUGCCUUUGAGCGGGGGACAACAUUUGGAAACGAAUGCUAAUACCGCAUAAAAACUUUAAACACAAGUUUUAAGUUUGAAAGAUGCAAUUGCAUCACUCAAAGAUGAUCCCGCGUUGUAUUAGCUAGUUGGUGAGGUAAAGGCUCACCAAGGCGAUGAUACAUAGCCGACCUGAGAGGGUGGUCGGCCGGAGUGGGACUGAGACCCGGCCCAAACGCCUACGGGAGGCAGCAGUAGGGAAACUUCGGCAAUGGACGAAAGUCUGACCGAGCAACGCCGCGUGAGUGAAGAAGGUUGUCGGAUCGUAAAACUCUGUUGGUAGAGAAGAACGUUGGUGAGAGUGGAAAGCUCAUCAAGUGACGGUAACUACCCAGAAAGGGACGGCUAACUACGUG
rnacentral:rRNA from 1 species